rnacentral:rRNA from 1 species
ACACCUACGGGGGGCAGCAGUGAGGAAUAUUGGUCAAUGGCCGAGAGGCUGAACCAGCCAAGUCGCGUGAGGGAUGACGGCCCUACGGGUUGUAAACCUCUUUUGUCGGGGAGCAAGACCCGCCUCGUGCAGGCGGAGCGAGAGUACCCGAAGAAAAAGCAUCGGCUAACUCCGUGCCAGCAGCCGCGGUAAUACGGAGGAUGCGAGCGUUAUCCGGCUUUAUUGGGUUUAAAGGGUGCGCAGGCGGACCAUCAAGUCAGCGGUAAAAUGUCCGGGCUCAACCCGGGCCGGCCGUUGAAACUGGG